rnacentral:lncRNA from 1 species
UAAUCCUGGGCUUGAUCAAACAAACUAAUUGGAAAUUUCCUGCUUCUUUACAAAGCAGAUGCCAUUUAAACAUAGUAUGAAGCUUAAUGUGAAUGGUUCAGAGUCAAAAUAAUGUGUCUGCUGAAUUGUAUGUUGUAAUCUAUAUAAAAUAAGAUGUUGUAUAAUAGCCAAUGAAACAUCUCUUCACAAUAGACCAAAUGACACAGAAAUUAACAACUAUAGGUCACCCUAAGACCAUCAACCAUAAGCAAUGCCCAUACCACAUAGUCGGCCAUAAAAGACUAUAUAUGUAAUCUAGCUUUUUAUUUGUGAGCAGCAAGGUAUACUCAUUUUUCCUCAGUGAGUUAAUGUUCUGAAACAGCUGUUAGGAAGCCACCACCUUAUCAAGAUCAAAAUAAGAUGCAGUGACAACAGGACGAAUAUCUACCAGAGUCCAAAUAACAUUGAUGUAAGCAACUAUCAUGUGCUGUACAGCCUUCAACAAUGAGCAAAAAU